GAAACGUGGAUUAAUACCGGAUACCUUCGCGGAAUCGCAUGGUUCUGUGAGGAAAUGCUCCGGCGCUUUGGGAUGGGCUCGCGGCCUAUCAGCUUGUUGGUGAGGUAACGGCUCACCAAGGCACUGACGGGUAGCUGGUCUGAGAGGACGAUCAGCCACACUGGGACUGAGACACGGCCCAGACUCCUACGGGAGGCAGCAGCAGGGAAUAUUGCACAAUGGGCGCAAGCCUGAUGCAGCGACGCCGCGUGAGGGAUGAAGGCUUUCGGGUUGUAAACCUCUUUCAGUGGGGAAGAAGCGCAAGUGACGGCACCCACACAAGAAGGCCCGGCCAACUACGUGCCAGCAGCCGCGGUAAUACGUAGGGGCCAAGCGUUAUCCGGAUUUAUUGGGCGUAAAGAGCUCGUAGGCGGCUUGGUAAGUCGGUCGUGAAAGUCCGAGGCUCAACCUCGGAAUGCCGGUCGAUACUGCCAUGGCUAGGGUUCGGUAGAGGAGAGUGGAAUUCUCGGUGUAGCGGUGAAAUGCGCAGAUAUCGAGAGGAACACCAAUAGCGAAGGCGGCUCUCUGGG
rnacentral:rRNA from 1 species